UGGACGCGCUUUGCUGACGUGGCA
rnacentral:miRNA from 1 species